UACAGAGGGGGCGAGCGUUGUUCGGAAUUACUGGGCGUAAAGGGCGCGUAGGCGGCCUGCUAAGUCAUACGUGAAAUCCCUCGGCUCAACCGGGGAACUGCGUGUGAUACUGGCGGGCUUGAAUCCGGGAGAGGAAUGCGGAAUUCCAGGUGUAGCGGUGAAAUGCGUAGAUAUCUGGAGGAACACCGGUGGCGAAGGCGGCAUUCUGGACCGGCAUUGACGCUGAGGCGCGAAAGCGUGGGGAGCGAACAGG
rnacentral:rRNA from 1 species